UUUUUUUUUUUUACAAACAGUAAGAAACACUUUAUUAUAACUUUACAAUAUAUAAAUAGCUUGGGUCAAAUCUGUGCUUUCUGGCAGCCGGGCACCAAGUCUGCUCCCCUGCAGGCUCCUGCCUUCCUUCACAUUGCACUGUUCAUUGGGUGGCUCUAGCCUGGGGCCUGGUGGUCGAGGCUGGAGUCAAGGGGCUGGGCGGCCCAGUCCCACCCUCCAUCUCCUCAUGCGGUGGCCUGUGCCUGUCAUCUGCUUGGGUUGCAGCUGGUGUGGAAGGACCGCUCCUCAGGGGUCAGGCCAGCAAAGAAGGGGUGCAGCAGGGCCUCGGCCAGUGUGAUGCGCCGGGCAGGGUCAAAUUCUAACAUCCUCCUCAUCAGGUCAAACAGCUGCACGUGCUCCAGGGAGUCUUGGAGCAUGUAACUCUGCUCAGGGACACAAGGUGCCUCAGUGUGACGGCAGGGUCGUGGGAAGCCACAGCAGGUCCCCUUGCCUCUGGGAUGCCUUGCUGGACUGGAUCGAGGAGGCAGUGAUGCCUCCUUGGAGGACUCUACUUCCGCCCUCCUGGACAAUGAGCAGCUCCUUUCCUUUCAUGCCUGUUUAACGUUUUGCUCGGAA
rnacentral:lncRNA from 1 species